ACCCUUGAAAGAGUGCGUAACAGCUCACUGGUCGAGUGAUCCUGCGCGGACAAUGUAACGGGGCUCAAGUCCAGAGCCGAAGCCGCGGAUCCUUUACGGAUGGUAGGGGAGCGUCGAUCUCGGAGCGAAGCGGCGGUGUGAACCGUCGUGGACCGUGGUCGAGUGAGAAUGCUGGCAUGAGUAGCGAGAGAGGGGUGAGAAACCCCUCCGCCGAAAGCCCAAGGGUUCCUGGGGAAGGCUAAUCCUCCCAGGGUAAGUCGGGAGCUAAGGCGAGGCCGAAAGGCGUAGUCGAUGCACAACUGGUUGAUAUUCCAGUACCACCACGUGCGCGCCCAAGCCAACUCUUUGGUGCUAGGGGCUGUUCACCUUCGGGUGAACGAACCGAACCACCGUUGACGCGGCUAGCAAUGAGGGGACGCAGGAGGGUAGGUGAACCCAGGCGAUGGUUGUCCUGGGGUAAGCGUGUAGGGAGAGGUCCAGGCAAAUCCGGCCCUCAUACAUCCUGAGACGCGAUGCCGAGCCGAUACAGGCGAAGUCACUAAUCCCAUGCUGCCGAGAAAAGCCUCUAGCGAGCUCACGUGGUGCCCGUACCCCAAACCAACACAGGUGGGCAGGUAGAGAAUACCAAGGCGAUCGGGAGAACUGUGGUUAAGGAACUCGGCAAAAUACCUCCGUAACUUCGGGAGAAGGAGGACCCCAGUAGGGUGACGUCCCUUGCGGACAGAGCUCGAAGGGGUGGCACAGACCAGGGGAAAGCGACUGUUUACUAAAAACACAGCAGCGUGCCAAGCCGCAAGGCGAUGUAUACGCUGUGACGCCUGCCCGGUGCCGGAAGGUUACGGGGAAGGGUUAGCCCUCGGGCGAAGCUCUGAACCUAAGCCCCGGUAAACGGCGGCCGUAACUAUAACGGUCCUAAGGUAGCGAAAUUCCUUGUCGGGUAAGUUCCGACCUGCACGAAUGGCGUAACGACUUUCCUACUGUCUCAACCACAGACCCGGCGAAAUUGAAGUACGAGUAAAGAUGCUCGUUAGCUGCAGAAGGACGAAAAGACCCCGUGGACCUUUACUACAGCCUGAUAUUGGGUUUUGGUAUGUGUUGUGUAGGAUAGGUGGGAGACUUGGAAGCGUCGGCGCCAGCCGGCGUGGAGUCAUCCUUGAAAUACCACCCUGCACAUGCCGGAACUCUAACCUAGACCCGUGAUCCGGGUUGGGGACAGUGGCAGGUGGGUAGUUUGACUGGGGCGGUCGCCUCCUAAAGAGUAACGGAGGCGCCCAAAGGUUCCCUCAGGCUGGUUGGCAAUCAGCCGUCGAGUGCAAUGGCACAAGGGAGCUUGACUGCGAGACCUACAAGUCAAGCAGGUGCGAAAGCAGGGCAUAGUGAUCCGGCGGUUGCGUGUGGAAGCGCCGUCGCUCAACGGAUAAAAGGUACCCCGGGGAUAACAGGCUCAUCUUCCCCAAGAGUCCAUAUCGACGGGAAGGUUUGGCACCUCGAUGUCGGCUCAUCGCAUCCUGGGGCUGAAGCAGGUCCCAAGGGUUGGGCUGUUCGCCCAUUAAAGCGGUACGCGAGCUGGGUUUAGAACGUCGUGAGACAGUUCGGUCCCUAUCCUCUGCAGCCGGAGGGAAUUUGAGGAAAGCUGUCCCUAGUACGAGAGGACCGGGACGGACGCAGCUCUCGUGUGCCAGUUGUCCUGCCAAGGGCACGGCUGGUUAGCGACCUGCGGAAGGGAUAAGCGCUGAAAGCAUCUAAGUGCGAAGCCCGUUCCUAGAUGAGAUUCCCCACUGGGUUAACCAGGUAAGGCCCGUGACCAGACGAUCACGUUGA
rnacentral:rRNA from 1 species